rnacentral:rRNA from 1 species
GAUGAACGCUGGCGGCGUGUCUAAUACAUGCAAGUCGAGCGAACAGACGAGGAGCUUGCUCCUCUGACGUUAGCGGCGGACGGGUGAGUAACACGUGGAUAACCUACCUAUAAGACUGGGAUAACUUCGGGAAACCGGAGCUAAUACCGGAUAAUAUAUUGAACCGCAUGGUUCAAUAGUGAAAGACGGUUUUGCUGUCACUUAUAGAUGGAUCCGCGCCGCAUUAGCUAGUUGGUAAGGUAACGGCUUACCAAGGCAACGAUGCGUAGCCGACCUGAGAGGGUGAUCGGCCACACUGGAACUGAGACACGGUCCAGACUCCUACGGGAGGCAGCAGCAGGGAAUCUUCCGCAAUGGGCGAAAGCCUGACGGAGCAACGCCGCGUGAGUGAUGAAGGUCUUCGGAUCGUAAAACGCUGUUAUUAGGGAAGAACAAAUGUGUAAGUAACUAUGCACGUCUUGACGGUACCUAAUCAGAAAGCCACGGCUAACUACGU